UAGCCUCUCACACAGCAUUUUGACUCUGGGAAGGGGGAGGAUGAGAGCACGCUGACCCUGUAAAGCAAAAAGCCCUGGCCACUCCAUCUCAGCAGCACACCUGAACAUUCUGUAAAUUCUGCCAGUGGUGAGGUGGGAAGAAUUCCCUUCCUGGCCACUAUCAGUGAGGACUGCUCACUCGCUGUGCUGGACUCAGAGCUUUCUGAGGUGUUUAGAAGCCAAGCCCACAGAGACUUUGUGAGAGACGCUACGUGGUCCCCGCUCAAUCACUCUCUCCUUACCA